GGCGAGAUGGCCGAGCGGUCUAAGGCGCUAGAAUCAGGAGCACUUCGCAGUCUCUUAUCUAGUUCUUCGGAGCGUGGGUUCGAAUCCCACUCUCGUCA